rnacentral:miRNA from 1 species
AUGUAUGUAUAUGUGUAUAUGUGUGUAUAUAUAUAUAUAUAUAUACACAUACACACACACACACAAACACACAAUUUGAACACUCUCAU